rnacentral:rRNA from 1 species
UUAGCAAUAGGUUGAUGGCGACCGGCGCACGGGUGAGUAACACGUAUCCACCUGCCGAUUAUUCCGGGAUAGCCUUUCGAAAGAAAGAUUAAUACUGGAUAGCAAGGCAUCUUUAAAGAAUUUCGAUAAUCGAUGGGGAUGCGUUCCAUUAGUUUGUUGGCGGGGUAACGGCCCACCAAGACAUCGAUGGAUAGGGGUUCUGAGAGGAAGGUCCCCCACAUUGGAACUGAGACACGGUCCAAACUCUACGGGAGGCAGCAGUGAGGAAUAUUGGUCAAUGGACGAGAGUCUGAACCAGCCAAGUAGCGUGAAGGAUGACUGCCUAUGGGUUGUAAACUUCUUUUGUAUGGGAAUAAGUGAGCCACGUGUGGCUUUUUGUAUGUACCAUACGAAUAAGGAUCGGCUAACUCCGUGCCAGCAGCCGCGGUAAUACGGAGGAUCCGAGCGUUAUCCGGAUUUAUUGGGUUUAAAGGGAGCGUAGGCGGAUUAUUAAGUCAGUUGUGAAAGUUUGCGGCUCAACCGUAAAAUUGCAGUUGAUACUGGUAGUCUUGAGUGCAGCAGAGGUAGGCGGAAUUCGUGGUGUAGCGGUGAAAUGCUUAGAUAUCACGAAGAACUCCGAUUGCGAAGGCAGCUUACUGGACUGUAACUGACGCUGAUGCUCG